rnacentral:misc_RNA from 1 species
CAGCAGUCGCGCGUGAUCUCUCUCUCAAUUUCCCGCCCACUUGAAUCAGUGCUCCUCUUUCUCUCUUCGUCCUCUCUGCGCCGUUUCUGCCAUGCCGCCGCGCCGAAAAAAUGCCUCUCGCUCCAAGUCGCGGUCUGCUUCGCAGUCCUCAGGGAAGUCGUCUCCGCGUCCGUCUGGUCGUGCACCAGCCAAGAGCCCGUCGCUGCCACCGCCGGAUCCGGUGGCUGUGCAGCGGCUGAUCGACGAGGCCAUUGCGCGCGCUCGGGAAAGGCGCGCAUCCAAUGAUGCUGCGGCUCCGCCAACGAGUGUCAGCGCCUCCUCGCAUCAACCUGUCUCGGCAUGCUUUUCCAAGCGCCUCUUUUCUGCUAGCGCGUCGGAGAAGAUGACGGACAUGAUCGGGGCUUUUCUAGUCACCUGCAUCACGGUGUACUUCACAUGGGCCGGCUAUGCCUUCUACCGUGAAAUGACCAUUAACCAGUAAUAGAGCUGAUGGUCACCGUGUGUGUGGGGGGUGGGGAUGUGGAGACAGGCACCGCUGCUUGGCCAUCUGGCUAGAGGACGUCACGUGCCGUUGACGGAGGCGAGCGGGUAAGCCUCAGGCGAAGCAAAGGCAGGCGGGCCUUCACCCCGCCAAAGUGAGGUCCCUCCGCCCUCUUUUCACCGCUUCUCUCUUCUCUUAGAGCACACCGCCUUCUUGUUUGGCCACUUUCCGCCGCGCCGCUUCCUUUCGUGGAGCCACGCACUGACACACACAGUCCCGCAGGUACAAUAGAUGCACCACCACUUUCUACCCGCCGAUUUCUUUCGAGCUGUGCGGCUGCCCUUCCCCUCCCCGAGCACCUCAUUCAGAAAUGCGCGUUAUAGACGAGUGUAAGAGUCGGCGUUGUUCUCUUUUGGCGUGAGCUUGUCUGUAUGCGCGGAUCGGUAUGAGGGUGCCUGAAUUGAGCGCGUCCCACGAACACA